GAAAUAAGUAAUUCAAAGUUAAGCUUCUAACUUAAACUUUAAGCGACGAAAUUUCGUUUUUAUUUCUU
rnacentral:tRNA from 1 species